UGGUGCUGUUGGAUCAGGAAUGGCUCUGCGCUAGCGUACGCCACACCCUAAUGCUUAAACUACAAAAACAGGCAAAGUGCAACCGUGUAAUAACUCAUCUCAGCCACAGGAAAGGCGCUCCACAAACCCUCUCAUUGUUAUCAUCUCAAGGAAGAAGCUCCACUACCCUCUCAAUACCAUCCCAAGGAAAGAGCUACACCACACUCUCAAUGUCAUCUCAAGGAAAGAGCUCACCUCCUCACAUCCCCAUCUAAGGAAGGAGCGCCACCACUGCCACAUUCUCACCUAAAGGAAGAAGCUCCACCACCCUCUCAAUGCCAUUUCAAGGAAGAAGCUCCAUUCUCCUCACAUCCCCAUCUCAGGAAUGGAGCCCAACCACCCUCACAUCCCCAUCUCAAUAAAGGAACCUCACCACCCUUACAUUUCCAUCUCAAGAAAGGAGCUCCAUUACCCUCUCAGUGCCAUCUCAAGGCCGGGAGAGAUAAUGAGACCAAAUAACACUGCUCCUUUUCCUGAAGACUUUCCUGUGAUUUGAGGAUCCUUCCAUACACUGAAAUCAGGCACCUGCCCAAAGCCAUCCCAAAAAAUGAAGAAUGAUGGUGGCAGCAUCAUGCUGCGGGGGAAUUGUUCUGCAGCAGAGACUUGGCAACUAAUCAGGGUGGAGGAAAAGCUGAAUGGAGCAAAUGGCCGAGAUACCCCCAAUAAACAUCUGUUUUACAGCCUAAUUGCUGCCGAAGGUGCUCCAAUUAAGUACUGAGCAAAUGGCCUGAAUAUUUUGUGAUAUUUCACAUUUAGGAGAAAAUAUAGACAUUUCUAGAAA